rnacentral:rRNA from 1 species
AUUGAACGCUGGCGGCAUGCCUUACACAUGCAAGUCGAACGGCAGCACGGGUGCUUGCACCUGGUGGCGAGUUGCGAACGGGGGAGUAAUACAUCGGAACAUGUCCUGUAGUGGGGGAUAGCCCGGCGAAAGCCGGAUUAAUACCGCAUACGAUCUACGGGUGAAAGCGUGGGACCGUCGUGCCUCGCGCUAUAGGGUUGGCCGAUGGCUGAUUAGCUAGUUGGUGGGGUAAAGGCCUACCAAGGCGACGAUCAGUAGCUGGUCUGAGAGGACGACCAGCCACACUGGGACUGAGAAACGGCCCAGACUCCUACGGGAGGCAGCAGUGGGGAAUUUUGGACAAUGGGCGAAAGCAUGAUACAGCAAUGCCGCGUGUGUGAAGAAGGCCUUCGGGUUGUAAAGCACUUUUGUCCGGAAAGAAAUCCUUGGCCCUAAUACGGUCGGGGGAUGACGGUACCGGAAGAAUAAGCACCGGCUAACUACGUG